ensembl:lncRNA
GAUUGUUUGCAGAUAAUGCUGUUCUUCUUUUUUUCAGAAGUUUUUUUGGUGAGCCAACUCUCACAAACCUUCCUAAAAAAACUAAAAAGAGCUAUUACUGAGUCUCGGCUAAUCUUGCCAUGGUCAGCUCUUCCCAGAAGAGAAGGAAGACCAAGGAAAUUAUUUGCUCAGGAUGAGAAAUGAAGAUGGCCAUCUUGUGCUCAAACAAACAGAAGUCCUCUGAUGAUCUCAUCAGCCAAAUGAGGGGUUUUGAACAAGUGAUGCUCUUGAAAGGAGUGAAAGAAGAGGAUGUGGUAAAUUGUCUUAAAGCAGCUUGAAGAAUGGUAAGUGUACAGUACUACAAGGGUCAUAGUUGCUCACCCUGCUAAAAUCACACAGAACAUAAGCUGAGUUCUCUGUCCAUUAAACAACUUCAUCUGGAUUGUUUGUUUCACUUUGACCAGGUCUGGGAUGUUAGGACUGAGAGAUCCUCUGACUGAGAGAAGCUACACCACAUCAGUGCUGGAUAUCAACCACAAACUGUUUCCAGACACGAGAGAAGAAGAUCAUGAUGGGGAGAUGAAACCAGUUUAGAUGUGAUGAUAAGGAAUCAUUAUUUUCUGAAACAGGAUCAAAUGUCUUAUAUGUAUCACAUGAUCUGUAUCACAGUUGACUGGAUGGGACUGUGUGACUCAUUAAUAUAUGAGGUUAAUGUAUUUUUGAUUAUGAAUAAUUAUUUUCCUUGAAUCUUAUUUGUCUUGAUGCUACUUUAUCAUCUGUAUAGUCUAUGCUUCAAUAAAAUGAAAAUUGUGAA